GGGGAAUAUUGCGCAAUGGGGGGAACCCUGACGCAGCCAUGCCGCGUGAAUGAAGAAGGCCUUCGGGUUGUAAAGUUCUUUCGGUAUUGAGGAAGGUUGAUGUGUUAAUAGUACAUCAAAUUGACGUUAAAUACAGAAGAAGCACCGGCUAACUCCGUGCCAGCAGCCGCGGUAAUACGGAGGGUGCGAGCGUUAAUCGGAAUAACUGGGCGUAAAGGGCACGCAGGCGGUUAUUUAAGUGAGGUGUGAAAGCCCCGGGCUUAACCUGGGAAUUGCAUUUCAGACUGGGUAACUAGAGUACUUUAGGGAGGGGUAGAAUUCCACGUGUAGCGGUGAAAUGCGUAGAGAUGUGGGGGAAUACCGAAGGCGAAGGCAGCCCCUUGGGAAUGUACUGACGCUCAUGUGCGAAAGCGUGGGGAGCAAACAGGAUUAGAUACCCUGGUAGUCCACGCUGUAAACGCUGUCGAUUUGGGGAUUGGGCUUAAAGCUUGGUGCCCGUAGCUAACGUGAUAAAUCGACCGCCUGGGGAGUACGGCCGCAAGGUUA
rnacentral:rRNA from 1 species